CCUACGGGUGGCAGCAGUGAGGAAUAUUGGUCAAUGGCCUGGAGUCUGAACCAGCCAAGUAGCGUGAAGGAUAACUGCCCUAGGGGUUUUAAACUUCUUUUAUAUGGAAAUAAAAUGUUCCACUUGUGGGAUUUUGUAUGUACCAUAUGAAUACCAAUCGGCUAACUCCUUGCAAGCAGCCGCGGUAAUACGGAGGCUCAGAGGGUUAUCCGGAUUUGUUGGGUUUAAAGGUAGCGUAGGUGGGUUGUUAAGUCAGUUGUGAAAGUUUGCGGCUCAACCGUAAAAGUGCAGUUGAUACUGGCAGGCUGGAGUACAGGAGAGGUGGGCGGAAUUCGUGGUGUAGCGGUGAAAUGCUUAGAUAUCACGAAGAACUCCGAUUGCGAAGGCAGCUCACUGGACUGCAACUGACACUGAGGCUCGAAAGUGUGGGUAUCAAACAGGAUUAGAUACCCUUGUAGUC
rnacentral:rRNA from 1 species